rnacentral:misc_RNA from 1 species
GAAAGCGGGGGCAACUCCGUGAGUAAAGUGGCAGACGGGUGAGUAACACGUGAACAACCUACCCUCGAGUGGGGAAUAACACCGCGAAAGCGGUGCUAAUGCCGCAUAACAUCCCCGGGUUGCAUGAUCUGGGGAUCAAAGGCGAAAGUUGCUUGAGGAGGGGUUCGCGGCUGAUUAGCUAGUUGGUGUUUUUUCCGCCCACCAAGGCAGAGAUCAGUAGCCGGCCUGAGAGGGCGAACGNCCACACUNCAUUCGUGACACGAUGAUGACUCCUNCCUCAAGUCCGNUGUGGNAGAAUNUNNANCUCCUCCGGCAAAUAUU